GACGAACGCUGGCGGCGUGCUUAACACAUGCAAGUCGAACGGAAAGGCCCUGCGUUUGUGGGGUGCUCGAUUGGCGAACGGGUGAGUAACACGUGAGUAACCUGCCCUUGUCUUUGGGAUAACUUCAGGAAACUGGGGCUAAUACCGGAUAGGAGCUCCUGCUGCAUGGUGGUGGUUGGAAAGUUUCGGCGGUUGGGGAUGGACUCGCGGCUUAUCAGCUUGUUGGUGGGGUAGUGGCUUACCAAGGCUUUGACGGGUAGCCGGCCUGAGAGGGUGACCGGCCACAUUGGGACUGAGAUACGGCCCAGACUCCUACGGGAGGCAGCAGUGGGGAAUAUUGCACAAUGGGCGGAAGCGUGAUGCAGCAACGCCGCGUGCGGGAUGACGGCCUUCGGGUUGUAAACCGCUUUCGCCUGUGACGAAGCGUGAGUGACGGUAAUGGGUAAAGAAGCACCGGCUAACUACGUG
rnacentral:rRNA from 1 species